AAAAGUACAAAUGCAUUAAAUGAAAUAAAAUGUACCAAUCAUCAUAUGUUGACCAAUAACAUUGAAAGUCAAACUCAAACAAAUCAAAAACAGAAGUGAGAUGAAGAUUGGAAGUCAAGAAAUGAACAAAAUAUUUUUGGCAUUUUUAAUAUUAAAAAUAAACUUGAAUUAAAAAUAAAAGAAAGGUCAAACUUCAAAAUUACUUCAAAUCAACCUUGAAAGGUCCAAGUAAUUUAUCCCAAGUUCAACAAGGUCAAACCAAGUUUGACAAAAAAUUUC
rnacentral:lncRNA from 1 species